UCGCGGCUUAUCACCGGCAGUCCCCCUAGAGUGCCCAACCAAAUGAUGGCAACUAAGGGCGAGGGUUGCGCUCGUUGCGGGACUUAACCCAACAUCUCACGACACGAGCUGACGACAGCCAUGCAGCACCUGUGUGCAGGUCCCCGAAGGGAAGAGGCCCGUCUCCGGACACCGUCCUGCCAUGUCAAGGGCUGGUAAGGUUCUGCGCGUUGCUUCGAAUUGAACCACAUGCUCCACCGCUUGCGCGGGCCCCCGUCAAUUCCUUUGAGUUUUAACCUUGCGGCCGUACUCCCCAGGCGGAUGACUUAACGCGUUAGCUGCGCCACCGAAACUCCAUGAGCCCCGACAGCUAGUCAUCAUCGUUUACGGCGUGGACUAC
rnacentral:misc_RNA from 1 species